GACGAACGCUGGCGGCGUGCUUAACACAUGCAAGUCGAACGGAAAGGCCCUGCUUUUGUGGGGUGCUCGAGUGGCGAACGGGUGAGUAACACGUGAGUAACCUGCCCUUGACUUUGGGAUAACUUCAGGAAACUGGGGCUAAUACCGGAUAGGAGCUCCUGCUGCAUGGUGGGGGUUGGAAAGUUUCGGCGGUUGGGGAUGGACUCGCGGCUUAUCAGCUUGUUGGUGGGGUAGUGGCUUACCAAGGCUUUGACGGGUAGCCGGCCUGAGAGGGUGACCGGCCCCAUUGGGCUUGGGAUAGGGCCAAGACGCCUACGGGGGCAAGCGGGGGGAACUUUUGCCAAUGGGAGGAAGCCUGAUGCAGCAACGCCGCGUGCGGGAUGACGGCCUUCGGGUUGUAAACCGCUUUCGCCUGUGACGAAGCGUGAGUGACGGUAAUGGGUAAAGAAGCACCGGCUAACUACGUG
rnacentral:rRNA from 1 species